rnacentral:lncRNA from 1 species
CCGAGGAGAGCCCAGCUCCAGGGCAGAAGGAGGGAGGCACCGAUGUGACCAGCCUGGGAAGGUGUCAGGGUAACACUUAUUUCCAUUCCAAAGCAGCAAUGAAGACAAUGGGACUGUAGGAGAAUUCAGGUGAUUUUGAAUGUCUUGUUUCCAAAAAAAUUGGAGCAAUCUGUUUGGAUUUUGACAUAACAUUUCUUUCGCUAUGUUAUAU